UCGAGGAUGAUCUUCUUUCUCUGCUGCCAUACAAGAGUAAACUCAUGGGUUUGAUGGAAGAUCCAUUUGUCCAAGGAGCCAUUAGACAUGAACUCAUAAACAAGAAGCCUGCGGGAUUUAUCAGCACAAAAACCAAGCAGCCUUACCAAGUUCACAUGGUGGAUUCUGCCAAUUGACUCAACCUCAGCCGAGAAUGAUUUUUUGACUUGGCCCAAACCAUUGAGACGCUUCACUGCAAUUUU
rnacentral:misc_RNA from 1 species